UCAACGCUACAUCCUCUUGAGGUUGUGCUCUCUUAUCUCCUGCUCCUCAUGUGCCGCUUUCACCUGGGAAUAUACACAUUGCAACGCAUGGGUCAUUUCCUGACAACAGACUCUCCCUACAAUGCUACUACAGAAACCCCGGCUACUACUUACACUGCCCAUGACGCCCACCUCAAAAUCCCCAAUUUGCGCCGUAGUCCAAUUCCAUGCGGUCACUUUCGCCUCCUUCAGUUAUUGUCCCUAUAGCGACUGCAGUGAGAAUAACUACUGCAUGGAAUCUGUCAAGUGUUCGCUGUCUGUUUGGCUGUUAUAAAUGGGAAAGAGAUCAACGAUGUUGGAAGAAUAUCCAACCUGACAAAACUCUGAGUCACCGGUUUCCUGAAAGUGUCUGAAAUGCCAACACUAUCUCUGCUACUUUCACCAUGAUCUGGGUAUGUGUAAUAGUCCCUACAUUGUGCAGUUAGCUGUCCUCCCUCUCCUACGAGCUAUCUCCUGUAACAAUAUACAUAGUCUAUGGGGAUGAUACCACUAUCACCCCGACCUCAAUUUUUUCUAAUGAGAUUGAUCAGGCCUCACCAGAAAGUCAGGAUACAGGGCAUUCAACGCCGUUUAAAUAUUUCCUAUCCAUUUUCUUUCCCUGUCCUUCCGAAACCCUUCAGACAUUUCAAACAUUUCCAUCAUUCUGCAUACCCAAUUUAAAACCAAAUAGAAAAGAUCCCACAAAAUAAAUCCCAUGGUAUCCGGUAAAUUGUGCAUGCGUGCUGGUGUGUGUGGUAAAUCGUAGGUCAAAACCCCACAUGAACAGGCCUUACUUAUCUGGGAACUCCGUUUAUGGCCUAAUCCAGAUACUUUAAUACUUAAAACUGACGAAUAUCACUAACUGCUCUCCCCAAGACCACAGUCUCAGGGAACAUUCACUUCACUCGGGCAUAAUAGAGGGGGGUUGCACUACCCGGUUCUGCACAUGUGCAGAUCAAAUACACAGCUGGAACGGUAAAGAAAAUCUCUUUGCAAUGAAUUAUUGGACACCUUUUUAGACAUUAACACUAAUGUCACGGCCGUCAAAGGAAGUGGACCAAAGUGCAGCGUGUGAUAAAGGAUGGCGCUAGCAGCACUGACUCUGGUCAAGGCAGCAACGAACGUCUAGACAGGGAGGCAAUGCUGGCUAAUGGAGGUAACAUAAUUUAUCAUUGUUAUUCUUUUUUUAUACAAUCGUGGCCUCCCAUCUCAUUCUUAAAAGUUGCAGUUUUUUUAUGUUGAUUGUAUAACAAACAGUAUCUGAGCACUUAACAGAUUUGGUGCCAGCAGCCAUACCACCCUGCAUCCAACUACAGGCCUUGACACUACAAACCAUAUAUUAACCAACAUCCCCAAACAUCCCAACAAAUAUCAACAUCAAGAGACUACAUGGACAUGUAACAAUAACACACCACUACUAUGUAUUUCUUUAGGUUCAUGAAAUGGGUCCUUGUCCACCCACGACUCUGGUAAUAUUGAACUUCUACUGUAAUUCAUAGUUAUCUGUAGAAUUCCUACUGUUACUGCAGCUAUGGCCCUGAGUAUAAAAAGCAAGCACCCAUUCCCAUAAUGACUUUCUCUCUCUAUUCUCUCAGACAUUAAAGUGACUGACAGCGCAUCCAAACCAAAGAACGUGUGAUUCUGUUUUGUUAAUCAACAAACACUGUGAAUCUGGAUGUAUUCCUUUCCAAGCAUUUACCAUUCUGAUCAGAUAGGCUUGGGAAAUUAAGUUUAUGAUUCAUUUUGAUCUUUUGAAAAUCGUAGUGGGAUUCCUUGUCAGAAUAAAA